rnacentral:rRNA from 1 species
UACGAAGGGGGCGAGCGUUGUUCGGAUUUACUGGGCGUAAAGGGCGCGCAGGCGGCUCAUUUUGUCAGGCGUGAAAGCCCCGGGCUUAACCUGGGACUGCGUUUGAUACGGAUGGGCUAGAGUUCGGGAGAGGAGAGUGGAAUUCCCAGUGUAGUGGUGAAAUGCGCAGAUAUCAGGAGGAACACCGAUGGCGAAGGCAGGUCGCCUGGGACGUUACUGACGCUGAGACGCGAAAGCGUGGGGGAGCAAACAGG